UACGAAGGGGGCUAGCGUUGCUCGGAAUCACUGGGCGUAAAGCGCACGUAGGCGGAUUGUUAAGUCAGGGGGUGAAAUCCUGGAGCUCAACUCCAGAACUGCCUUUGAUACUGAAGAUCUUGAGUUCGGGAGAGGUGAGUGGAACUGCGAGUGUAGAGGUGAAAUUCGUAGAUAUUCGCAAGAACACCAGUGGCGAAGGCGGCUCACUGGCCCGAUACUGACGCUGAGGCACGAAAGCGUGGGGAGCAAACAGG
rnacentral:rRNA from 1 species